GGUGGCUCAGUGGUAGAGUGCAUGCCUUGCAUGCAUGAGGCCCUGGGUUCAAUUCCUCAGCACCA
rfam:Dipodomys ordii contig_66270, whole genome shotgun sequence.